UACGUAGGGCGCAAGCGUUGUCCGGAAUUAUUGGGCGUAAAGAGCUCGUAGGCGGCUUGUCACGUCGGUUGUGAAAGCCCGGGGCUUAACCCCGGGUCUGCAGUCGAUACGGGCAGGCUAGAGUGUGGUAGGGGAGACUGGAAUUCCUGGUGUAGCGGUGAAAUGCGCAGAUAUCAGGAGGAACACCGAUGGCGAAGGCAGGUCUCUGGGCCACUACUGACGCUGAGAAGCGAAAGCGUGGGGAGCGAACAGG
rnacentral:rRNA from 1 species